ensembl:snoRNA
AUACUAUGAUGUUUGCAUAGUUCAGCAGAUUGAAUUAGGAAGAGAUCUACCACUUAUCUGGUAUUA